UACGUAGGGUGCGAGCGUUGUCCGGAAUUAUUGGGCGUAAAGAGCUCGUAGGCGGUUUGUCACGUCUGCUGUGAAAUCCCGAGGCUCAACCUCGGGCCUGCAGUGGGUACGGGCAGACUGGAGUGCGGUAGGGGAGAAUGGAAUUCCUGGUGUAGCGGUGGAAUGCGCAGAUAUCAGGAGGAACACCAAUGGCGAAGGCAGAUCUCUGGGCCGUAACUGACGCUGAGGAGCGAAAGCAUGGGGAGCGAACAGG
rnacentral:rRNA from 1 species